AAUCGAGGUUGAUUUAGUAAAAUCGUAACAAUAUAUAUAUAUAGAUGUUUAAUAUUUCCUUUUUAUCACAACAUUUCAUGUAAUUCAUAUCUGCCACUAAACUCUGUGCCUUUUGCAACAUUGGUAAGUUUUAUAAAAAUUAAACAACGGCAACUCGGGCAAGAGCGUAUAGAGAAUUUUUUUAUGAUGCGAAGCCGUCGGGCUUUAGCGUCUAAGAAGUGUAUGAAAUGUUUGAGAAACAAACGGGAAAAGAAAGUUUGGAAAAUUUGCAAGCAACAACAGAAAACCAAAACAGUGUGAUAGUGGAGAUGACGGCGGAUCACAAAGUGCACCUCACAACAACUAAUAACGGCCUCUUAAAUAUAUCAGCCAUAACAACAUUGUUUCCAAAGAAGACUUGAAAAUUAUGGACGCUGAUAUAAAUUCAAAGAACGAGUCAAAAUAUAUAUCAGCAGUGAAAUAUUUAUUUGAUGUAUGCGUCCAUAAAAAUUUGGAUAGGAUAUUUUCAAGGAAGUUAAGUGUAGCAUACAACACAAACGGGAAUUUCGGGAAAAAGGUCUAAGAACCUACACAAACGUAUACAAAGUUCCACUGUCUGCAAUAGGUUACAGUUCCCCAAAUGCAGAAAAAGAGUUACAAGCCGGACUGCAAGCAGUAAAAAAGACAUUUUCGUUUUAUAAGUAAUAAUAAAACAAAAGUAAUUGAUUAAUGAUAUAAUAUAAUAAUAAUAUUUC